rnacentral:rRNA from 1 species
GAUGAACGCUGGCGGCGUGCCUAAUACAUGCAAGUCGAGCGGUAAGGCCCUUCGGGGUACACGAGCGGCGGACGGGUGAGUAACGCGUAAGAAUCUACCCCAAACUGAGGGAUAACUGCUCGAAAGAGUAGCUAAUACCGCAUGUGCUCUACGGAGUAAAGCUACGGCGGUUUGGGAAGAGCUUGCGUACGAUUAGCUAGUUGGUAAGGUAAUGGCUUACCAAGGCGACGAUCGUUAGCUGGUCUGAGAGGAUGAUCAGCCACACUGGGACUGAGACACGGCCCAGACUCCUACGGGAGGCAGCAGUAGGGAAUUUUCCACAAUGGGGGCAACCCUGAUGGAGCAACGCCGCGUGCAGGAUGAAGGCCUUCGGGUUGUAAACUGCUUUUGUCUGUGACGAAUAUGACGGUAGCAGACGAAUAAGGAUCGGCUAACUACGUGCCAGCAGCCACCGUAA